rnacentral:tRNA from 1 species
GCCCUGAUGGCUCAGUUGGUUAGAGCGCAGGUCUCAUACUAUCUGUGUGACUGGUAUGGUUACCAGGCAAUCCUGAGGUCGCAAGUUCGAACCUUGCUCAGGGCA